CACCGAUGAUAACCAGCACGGGCGUCGGAGAAAUCCUACGCCCGUGCACGCAUGUUAAGGGCAGGAACAACAAC
rfam:Bacteria symbiont BFo1 of Frankliniella occidentalis strain BFo1 contig207, whole genome shotgun sequence.